GUCCAAAACACUUUGGAGAUGGUUGGCCAGGCUGACAAUGGCAUCGAUGUUUUAGAAACCAUUUCCGAUGAAAGUGAUUUGGAAACAAUCAGAGUAGUAACCUCGGUAAAAGAUGAAUUGAAAGUGAAUAAUAUUGACCACGACAUUAUUUUAAAUAUAAUAAAACAAGCUCAACAAAGCCAAAGGAGGGAGAAUAUGAUAUUAUGUUCUGUGAAUACGGUCAGCCUAGAUAAUGUUAUUGAUAUUGAAGGCACUUACGAAGUUAAUGUUAGCGGCGAAUUAUUAAAAGUUCCUUCGGACCCAGAUACGCUUGAAAUUACAUUACCAUCUUGUGAAAUUGAGCAUUAGGUGUCUAGAAGUGUUGACAGUACCUCGCCAAGUCGGCUUAGUUUCACAGAACAACCGAAUUUAAACCCAUUAAUUGAAGAGGAUAGGGAUGAAAUUACCGAUUUAAAUGUUACGGAUGAAAUUUUAUUCCAUAAAAUGUGUUUCGAGAUUGUGGGAAAAGUUGAAUCAACUUCAGAAAGAAAGACCCCAUUCGAAAAACACCUGGUAUAUCCGAAGCCUA